UAGGGAAUCUUCCACAAUGGACGAAAGUCUGAUGGAGCAACGCCGCGUGAGUGAAGAAGGUUUUCGGAUCGUAAAACUCUGUUGUUGGAGAAGAAUGUAUCUGAUAGUAACUGAUCAGGUAGUGACGGUAUCCAACCAGAAAGCCACGGCUAACUACGUGCCAGCAGCCGCGGUAAUA
rnacentral:rRNA from 1 species